GAUGAACGCUGGCGGCGCGCCUAACACAUGCAAGUCGAACGAUUAAAGCACCUUCGGGUGUGUAUAAAGUGGCGAACGGCUGAGUAACACGUGGGCAACCUGCCCCUCUCAUUGGGAUAGCCACGGGAAACCGUGGAUAAUACCGAAUACUUCGGGACUUCCGCAUGGAAGACUCGAGAAAGCUCCGGCGGAGAGGGAUGGGCCCGCGGCCUGUUAGCUUGUUGGUGGGGUAACGGCCUACCAAGGCAAUGAUGGGUAGCUGGGUUGAGAGACCGACCAGCCAGAUUGGGACUGAGACACGGCCCAGACUCCUACGGGAGGCAGCAGUGGGGAAUCUUGCACAAUGGGCGAAAGCCUGAUGCAGCGACGCCGCGUGCGGGAUGAAGGCCUUCGGGUUGUAAACCGCUUUCAGCAGGGACGAGGCGAAAGUGACGGUACCUGCAGAAGAA
rnacentral:rRNA from 2 species